GACGAACGCUGGCGGCGUGCUUAACACAUGCAAGUCGAACGAAGUGGCGAACGGGUGAGUAACGCGUAAUCAACCUGCCCUUCAGAGGGGGACAACAGUUGGAAACGACUGCUAAUACCGCAUACUGAAGGAGGGGAUUGCGUCGGAUUAGCUCGCUGGAGGGGUAACGGCCCACCACGGCGAUGAUCAGUAGCCGGUCGUGAGGGAAGAACGGCCACAUUGGGAAUGAGAAACGGCCCAGACUCCUACGGGAGGCAGCAGGGGGGAAUCUUCCGCAAUGGACGAAAGUCUGACGGAGCAACGCCGCGUGAGUGAUGACGGCCUUCGGGUUGUAAAGCUCUGUUAAGCGGGACGCGGUACCGGAAUAGAAAGCAACGGCUAACUACGUGCCAGCAGCCGCGGUAAUUC
rnacentral:rRNA from 1 species